rnacentral:rRNA from 1 species
AACGAACGCUGGCGGCAUGCCUAACACAUGCAAGUCGAACGAGACCUUCGGGUCUAGUGGCGCACGGGUGCGUAACGCGUGGGAACCUGCCCUUAGGUUCGGAAUAACUCCCCGAAAGGGGUGCUAGUACCGGAUAAUGUCUUCGGACCAAAGAUUUAUCGCCUUUGGAUGGGCCCGCGUUGGAUUAGCUAGUUGGUAGGGUAAAAGCCUACCAAGGCGACGAUCCAUAGCUGGUCUGAGAGGAUGAUCAGCCACACUGGGACUGAGACACGGCCCAGACUCCUACGGGAGGCAGCAGUGGGGAAUAUUGGACAAUGGGCGAAAGCCUGAUCCGGCAAUGCCGCGUGAGUGAUGAAGGCCUUAGGGUUGUAAAGCUCUUUUACCCGGGAUGAUAAUGACAGUACCGGGAGAAUAAGCUCCGGCUAACUCCGUG